rnacentral:lncRNA from 1 species
GAGGUGUCAGAGCAGCAAAUUUCUGACACACCUUUAUGCUAUGCGAACUGGAGCAGCAGUAGCAUGAAGUUCCAUUUUAAUCUACUGCUGCCGUCAAACUUGCUCUCUUUCCGCUGUGACUAGUCUUUACCAUAACUGGUUUUCUCACCUCACGACCAGCUUGAUUAGUGCCCCUGUUGACUAUAAACAGUGAAAGCACCUUCCAUUAUGGCAAUUGAGAAAAGUCGAAUUUGUUCUGCAAUUUUUCCAGUGAGUCUUCAUCCAACUUAUUUUGGUCUAAGUGGAACAUAAUUCACCCUUACUACCCAAUGAGCGAAGAACUUCCAACUGAGAGUUAACAGCAUCAACUAAUCAAAACUAACUCAAAUAUAAAAAGUGUGUAAGGACAUACAAUUCUAUAAAACUUAAUAAAUAAAC